GAUGAGCGCUGGCGGCGUGCCUAAUACAUGCAAGUCGAGCGAACGGACGAGAAGCUUGCUUUUCUGAUGUUAGCGGCGGACGGGUGAGUAACACGUGGAUAACCUACCUAUAAGACUGGGAUAACUUCGGGAAACCGGAGCUAAUACCGGAUAAUAUUUUGAACCGCAUGGUUCAAAAGUGAAAGACGGUCUUGCUGUCACUUAUAGAUGGAUCCGCGCUGCAUUAGCUAGUUGGUAAGGUAACGGCUUACCAAGGCAACGAUGCAUAGCCGACCUGAGAGGGUGAUCGGCCACACUGGAACUGAGACACGGUCCAGACUCCUACGGGAGGCAGCAGUAGGGAAUCUUCCGCAAUGGGCGAAAGCCUGACGGAGCAACGCCGCGUGAGUGAUGAAGGUCUUCGGAUCGUAAAACUCUGUUAUUAGGGAAGAACAUAUGUGUAAGUAACUGUGCACAUCUUGACGGUACCUAAUCAGAAAGCCACGGCUAACUACGUG
rnacentral:rRNA from 1 species